rnacentral:misc_RNA from 1 species
CCUUGGCGCCCCCGGCGAAGUUGAAGCCUUUCAACUGCGGCAUAUCGAAUGCAAACGGCGCGCCGAAGACCAGGGUGGCCAGCGCGGGCAGACCAACCAGCAUCGCCAACACGAACGGCCAGAUCGUCAGCNNNNNNNNACCAGCGGCGAACAACUGCCGGCGGGCAUAGGCGCGCAUCAGCAGCGAGGCCACGAUGCCA